rnacentral:rRNA from 1 species
AUUGAACGCUGGCGGCAUGCUUUACACAUGCAAGUCGGACGGCAGCACAGAGAAGCUUGCUUCUUGGGUGGCGAGUGGCGAACGGGUGAGUAAUAUAUCGGAACGUACCGAGCAGCGGGGGAUAACUAAUCGAAAGAUUAGCUAAUACCGCAUAUUUUCUGAGGAAGAAAGCAGGGGACCAUUUGGCCUUGCGCUGUUUGAGCGGCCGAUAUCUGAUUAGCUAGUUGGUGGGGUAAAGGCCUACCAAGGCGACGAUCAGUAGCGGGUCUGAGAGGAUGAUCCGCCACACUGGGACUGAGACACGGCCCAGACUCCUACGGGAGGCAGCAGUGGGGAAUUUUGGACAAUGGGCGCAAGCCUGAUCCAGCCAUGCCGCGUGUCUGAAGAAGGCCUUCGGGUUGUAAAGGACUUUUGUCAGGGAAGAAAAGGGCGGGGUUAAUACCCCUGUCUGAUGA